UUUGUUUACCCAGGAAACUCUACUGUGGAGCAGAAAAAAACACUUCAUUGGGAGUCAGGAAACCUGGAUUCUAGUCCCAGAAUGACCUUGGAUUAAUGAGGAGUACAAGAGUCACGGAAAAAGCAAGGACAAACUACGUUUAAUAUUCUGGUGGAGCAAUAGGAUGUGACUACAAAUACUAUUCAGAAUAAAUCUGGCUUUAUUUAAAGAAAAACAAACUAAAACCUACCCCAAAUACCUCAGACUGGAAUAUUUUAUCUUUGCUUCUGGCAUGAAAAUGAUGGUUGCUAAGAGAUCCAGAGAAGUGAAAAGAAAAAUGAGACAAAGGAGGCUGAAAUAAUGUUUGCCUGGUUACUCGGAACACCAUGCAGGAUAUGCAUAGGAAAAAUAAAAGAUAAGAAUGCAAACAGGAAAAUAUUAUGGAAGAAAAGAAAAUGGAGGAAAGGACCGCCAAUGUUUUACACUCUCCAGUGUACAAUUCAAAUUCCUGAUGGCACAGCAGAAAAAGAUCAUAUGGAAUAAAUAAAUAAAUGGUCAGACACAUAUAUGUGGAUGUUAGCAAGGCAGAGUUCAGGAGUUCAGGGACAAGAAAAAGGAGGACACUAAUGAGAGAAAACAUGGAUCAUCAUCCUGAGGAAAAAAAAAAUACAGAGAUGAAAACAGGAAACAGGUAAUAUCAACAAGAGCUUAACAAUAGAAAACUAGCAUUGAUGUUCUAUGAAGAUAAUCAAGGAGAGGUAGGAGACUGUUUUUUGAUAAGCUCAGUCUUAGAAAGAUAUAAAAGUUAAAAAAAUUAAGGACACAAAAAGGAUGGGUAUAAAUUAUUGGUUCUCAAACUUUUAAUCUCAGUUCUUUACAUUCCCAAAAAUUACUGAGAACUCCAAAGGACUUUUGGUUUAUGUACAUUAUAGCUAUUGGUAUUUAACAUAUUAAAAAUUAAAACUGAAAAUUGUGUUUAUGAAUUUAUUUAAAAAUAAAAAUAAUAGAGGCACCUGAGUGGCUCAGUCGGUUAAAUAUCUGCCUUUGGCUCAGGUAAUGAUCUCGGAGUCCUGGGAUGAGCCCUGCAGCUGGCUCCCUGCUCAGCAGGGAGUCUGCUUCUCCCCUCUGCCCCAUCCCCCCAAUCAUGAUCUCUCUCUCUCUCUCAAAUAAAUAAUAAAAUCUCCAGAAAAGAAUAAAAAUAAUAAACCAUUACAUAUCAACAUAAGUAAGUUACUUUUAUGAAAAAUAGCCAUACUUACAAAAUACAAUGAAGGCUAAUGAUGGAGCAUUGUGUUGCAUUUUUAAAAGUCUAGCUUAAUAGAAGAUGACUGUAUCCUCAUAUCUACCUUGCAAUAUGUUGUUUUGAAGUAUUUGAAGAAAAUUGGGCUUCACACAGAUAUGUAGUUUAAAAAGGGAGGAGUAUUUUAAUAGCAUCUUUCAGAUAAUUGUGAAUAUAUUUUCUUGGUACUACAACAAAACUUGACAAGUGAUAAUAUCUUAAAGGUUAAUUGCAGUGUGAAAUCUGAGCAAUAUCAAUGAACUUUAUAUCCUCUGUUAUAUUACAUUUAAUUAGUCACUCUUGCACUUUGAAUGGAUCUUUUAUCCUUGGAUGAUUUUGCCGUGUUAUGUAUCGGUCAUUCAAAAAAAAACCCCUGUGAAAUAUUAAUUACAAUUAUUAAUAUCACUGCUAAUCUCAUCAGAAAAUUUUCUAUUGGGAAGCUUUCAAAUUUUUGCCUGACACCCUGAAUUUUAUUAUUGGCAACAAAUUCUGAGUUGUCUUCUUCAAGUAAUGUGCUUGCUUUUUCACUGUUUUGGAGAAUGUAUUCUAAAUACCCAAGUCAAUAACCUUAGUUUUUCGGUUUCUAUUUAAAGUAAAAAUUGUGUUCAUGAAAAGGGGGCUGGUUUAAUUUACAACUGAAACAUAUGUACAAGUGAUCCUCCCCCCAAAAUAACCAUGGUUCCUAAGGAUGCAACAUUGAUAUAUACUUUUCAUUUCAGCAACGUGGAUCAUUAAAAAUGUGUACAUGUUUGUAUAUACAAUUGGGUUAAGAUUUAAUUAAUUGUAUUGUUUCAUUGAAGACAUUCUUAAGUGAAACCAACUUGUGAAAUCACCUUUGUAUUUUUUAUUUUAUUCUAUUCUAUACUAUUCUAUUUUAUUU
rnacentral:lncRNA from 1 species